AACGAACGCUGGCGGCAUGCCUAACACAUGCAAGUCGAACGAAGGCUUCGGCCUUAGUGGCGCACGGGUGCGUAACGCGUGGGAAUCUGCCCUUAGGUUCGGAAUAACAGCUGGAAACGGCUGCUAAUACCGGAUGAUGACGAAAGUCCAAAGAUUUAUCGCCUGAGGAUGAGCCCGCGUUGGAUUAGGUAGUUGGUGGGGUAAAGGCCUACCAAGCCGACGAUCCAUAGCUGGUCUGAGAGGAUGAUCAGCCACACUGGGACUGAGACACGGCCCAGACUCCUACGGGAGGCAGCAGUGGGGAAUAUUGGACAAUGGGCGAAAGCCUGAUCCAGCAAUGCCGCGUGAGUGAUGAAGGCCCUAGGGUUGUAAAGCUCUUUUACCCGGGAAGAUAAUGACUGUACCGGGAGAAUAAGCCCCGGCUAACUCCGUGCCAGCAGCCGCGGUAAUACGGAGGGGGCUAGCGUUGUUCGGAAUUACUGGGCGUAAAGCGCACGUAGGCGGCUUUGUAAGUCAGAGGUGAAAGCCUGGAGCUCAACUCCAGAACUGCCUUUGAGACUGCAUCGCUUGAAUCCAGGAGAGGUCAGUGGAAUUCCGAGUGUAGAGGUGAAAUUCGUAGAUAUUCGGAAGAACACCAGUGGCGAAGGCGGCUGACUGGA
rnacentral:rRNA from 1 species